ACAGGAAUGGCCCCGGCACAGGAGCAGAGCAGCGACCCUGCAGGACAUGUUCAGGGCGCCCGGCCUCCCAUCUCCCUGCCUCGUGGGCCUGGAUGUGCAGGAAGGCUCGAACCCCCCCUGUCUGCAGCACCCAGUCCGAUUGUUCCGUUGGGGAGUUUCAGGUGGAUCACGCCUUCCUCAAGACCCUCCCAAUCCUGCCUGCCCCACCCUGCACCAGCCGAGGACCCAGACUCUCCCCUGGCCCAGCAGUGACAAGUGCCUUGCCCGGCGCCAACAGUGUGUGUGCUCGCGAAGCCGGUGUGGUUCCCUGGACAUCAGUGAGGGCCCCACAUCACCCGGCGCGGGGCUGGGUGCUGAGGAGCUGCCUCCCGAGGACUGGGUGCUGCCGCUGCGGAGCCCAGGUCCAGGUUCCUUCCCCCACCCUGCUGCCCCAGCUCAUGUGGCCUGCUGGGCUUGUUUAUGUUGCUAUUGUUUUUGUUGCUGUUUUGGGGGGUUUUUUUGAGACAGGGCCUCGCUCAGUCACCCAGGCUGAAAUGCAGUGGCAAGAUCAUGGCUCACUGCAGCCUCGACCUCCUGGGCCCCAGGGAUCCUCCCACCUCAGCCUCCCGAGUAGCUAAGAUGACAGGUGCACGUCACCACACCCAGCUGAUUUUUUAAUUUAUUUUUAUUUUUUGUAGAGAUGGAGUCUUGCUAUAUUGGUGGUCUCAAACUCCUGGCCCUAAGCGAUCCUCUUGCCUCAACCUCCCAAAGCGCCGGGAUGACAGGCGUGAGCCAGUGCACCUGGCCUGACCUUGAUUUCAGUGGUGGUUUCACAACAUCCACUUACGUCAAAACAUAUUGGAUUAUAUUCUUUAAGUAUGGGCAGCUUGUUGUUGACAAUUUCAACUCAAUAAAGCUGUUUUACAAAAAUAUAUAUAUAUAUAUUAAAAAGACAGAAAUGUGAUAUUGAAAUGAGACGGUAGUCAUAGGAAAAAAGGUUAAUGUGGAUUACUUUCUUACACUUUACACCAGAAAUAUAUGUGAAUUAUCAGAGAUCUAAUGUGAAUGGAUCAGAGAUAGAAUCAUAAAAUGACAUAAAACCACAACGAGGGGUCGUCUGUGCUGGAGGACAGCUCCGUGUCUGGAUUCCGUGGUGAAAAAGGGCGCAGAACUGCGCAGUCAUCCCCGUGACAAUUUCCCGGCUGUGACUCAGCUUCUAGUUCCCAAGAUGCCACCAUUGGGGGAGGAGGGACCUCCUGUGCCAUUUUCACAACUUCCUGGGGAUCUCUAACCAUUUCCAAAUAAAAAGCAUUUGAAAUUGAUGAGCAAAGCCUGAAGGCCUGGAAGGAAACACGAAUGGGCUUUGCUAUAUUCUCUAUAUUUAAAAAACAACUUUUGCUGGGCGCAGAGGCUCACACUGGUAAUCCCAGCACUUUGGGAGGCGGAGGCGGGUGGAUCACUUGAGGUCAGGAGUUUGAGGCCAGCCUGGCCAGCAUGGAGAAACCCCGUCUCUACUAAAAAUACAAAAAUUAGCUGGGCAUGGUGGCUCACGCCUGUAAUCCCAGCUACUCAGGAAGCUGAGGCAUAAGAAUCGCUUGUACCCGGGAGGCGGAGAUUGCGGUGAGCCGAGAUGGCGCCACUGCACUCCGGCCUGGGCGAAAGAGCGAGACCCAUCUCAAAAUUAAUUAAUUAAUUAAAUAAAAUUAAAAACAACUUUUGCUUUUACAAAAAAGAUAAGAAAUUAAACAGAUGAAUGACAAAAUGGGAAAACAUUUUCAAGUCGUAUCAUGGGCAAACUUGGGUUUGGGUUAAUAGCUCUGACGUAUUAAUAGCUUCUACAAAUAAAGAAAAAGGCAAACAUUAUUUUUUAAAAUGGCCCAAAGAAAUGAAUAAAUAACAGAAAAGGAAAAUUCCAGUGUCCUUUAAUUAUAUGAAAACAUUCUAACACAAAAAAAUAGCAAGUAGAAAAAUUUUAAACUGAAGCAGUUUUACCAAUGGAAGUGUGAAUAUUAAUUUUUUUAUGUUGGUAUGCUAAUCAGUUAGUAAAUUUUUUAAGUAUAGUUCAGGCAACUCAGCUAAGUGAUCCACUUGUCAACUAUAAGUUUUAUGAAAUCUUAAUGUAGGCAGAGUAUUUCUGAUGAGAAUGUCGUGUGCAUAUUCAGAUGUUCUGUAAGUGUGAAAUACAAACAAAUUUUGAAAACUUUGUAUUAAAAAAGAAUGACAAUAUCUCAUUACUAGAUUUUUUAUUGAUUACAUGUUGAAAUGAUAACAUUCUGGCUAUAUUGGGUUUGAUAAAUAAAUACAU
ensembl:lncRNA novel transcript